UACAGAGGUGGCAAGCGUUGUUCGGAAUUACUGGGCGUAAAGGGCGCGUAGGCGGCCUUCUAAGUCAGACGUGAAAUCCCCAGGCUUAACUUGGGAACUGCGUCUGAUACUGGGAGGCUUGAGUGCGGGAGAGGGAUGUGGAAUUCCAGGUGUAGCGGUGAAAUGCGUAGAUAUCGUAAGGAAGACCAGUGGCGAAGGCGGGUCUCUGGACAGUUCCUGACGCUGAGGCACGAAGGCCAGGGGAGCAAACGGG
rnacentral:rRNA from 1 species